rnacentral:rRNA from 1 species
ACUUGGAGGUUGUGCCCUUGAGGCGUGGCUUCCGGAGCUAACGCGUUAAGUAGACCGCCUGGGGAGUACGGCCGCAAGGUUAAAACUCAAAUGAAUUGACGGGGGCCCGCACAAGCGGUGGAGCAUGUGGUUUAAUUCGAUGCAACGCGAAGAACCUUACCUGGUCUUGACAUCCACAGAACUUUCCAGAGAUGGAUUGGUGCCUUCGGGAACUGUGAGACAGGUGCUGCAUGGCUGUCGUCAGCUCGUGUUGUGAAAUGUUGGGUUAAGUCCCGCAACGAGCGCAACCCUUAUCCUUUGUUGCCAGCGGUCAGGCCGGGAACUCAAAGGAGACUGCCAGUGAUAAACUGGAGGAAGGUGGGGAUGACGUCAAGUCAUCAUGGCCCUUACGACCAGGGCUACACACGUGCUACAAUGGCGCAUACAAAGAGAAGCGACCUCGCGAGAGCAAGCGGACCUCAUAAAGUGCGUCGUAGUCCGGAUUGGAGUCUGCAACUCGACUCCAUGAAGUCGGAAUCGCUAGUAAUCGUGGAUCAGAAUGCCACGGUGAAUACGUUCCCGGGCCUUGUACACACCGCCCGUCACACCAUGGGAGUGGGUUGCAAAAGAAGUAGGUAGCUUAACCUUCGGGAGGGCGCUUACCACUUUGUGAUUCAUGACUGGGGUGAAGUCGUAACAAGGUAACCGUAGGGGAACCUGCGGUUGGA